UUGACAUCCAGCGAACUUUCCAGAGAUGGAUUGGUGCCUUCGGGAACGCUGAGACAGGUGCUGCAUGGCUGUCGUCAGCUCGUGUUGUGAAAUGUUGGGUUAAGUCCCGNAACGAGCGCAACCCUUAUCCUUUGUUGCCAGCGAUUCGGUCGGGAACUCAAAGGAGACUGCCGGUGAUAAACCGGAGGAAGGUGGGGAUGACGUCAAGUCAUCAUGGCCCUUACGAGUAGGGCUACACACGUGCUACAAUGGCGCAUACAAAGAGAAGCGACCUCGCGAGAGCAAGCGGACCUCAUAAAGUGCGUCGUAGUCCGGAUCGGAGUCUGCAACUCGACUCCGUGAAGUCGGAAUCGCUAGUAAUCGUGGAUCAGAAUGCCACGGUGAAUACGUUCCCGGGCCUUGUACACACCGCCCGUCACACCAUGGGAGUGGGUUGCAAAAGAAGUAGGUAGCUUAACCUUCGGGAGGGCGCUUACCACUUUGUGAUUCAUGACUGGGGUGAAGUCGUAACAAGGUAGGCGUAGCGAG
rnacentral:rRNA from 1 species